GCAAGUCGAACGCUUUUUUCAUCAUCGUAGCUUGCUACACCGAUUGAAAAUUGAGUGGCGAACGGGUGAGUAACACGUGGGUAACCUGCCCAAAAGAGGGGGAUAACACUUGGAAACAGGUGCUAAUACCGCAUAACCAUGAUGACCGCAUGGUCAUUAUGUAAAAGAUGGUUUCGGCUAUCACUUUUGGAUGGACCCGCGGCGUAUUAACUUGUUGGUGGGGUAACGGCCUACCAAGGUAAUGAUACGUAGCCGAACUGAGAGGUUGAUCGGCCACAUUGGGACUGAGACACGGCCCAAACUCCUACGGGAGGCAGCAGUAGGGAAUCUUCCACAAUGGGCGCAAGCCUGAUGGAGCAACGCCGCGUGAGUGAAGAAGGUCUUCGGAUCGUAAAACUCUGUUGUUAGAGAAGAACAUGCAAGAGAGUAACUGUUCUUGUAUUGACGGUAUCUAACCAGAAAGCCACGGCUAACUACGUGCCAGCAGCCGCGGUAAUACGUAGGUGGCAAGCGUUGUCCGGAUUUAUUGGGCGUAAAGGGAACGCAGGCGGUCCUUUAAGUCUGAUGUGAAAGCCUUCGGCUUAACCGAAGAAUUGCAUUGGAAACUGGAGGACUUGAGUGCAGAAGAGGAGAGUGGAACUCCAUGUGUAGCGGUGAAAUGCGUAGAUAUAUGGAAGAACACCAGUGGCGAAAGCGGCUCUCUGGUCUGUAACUGACGCUGAGGUUCGAAAGUGUGGGUAGCAAACAGGAUUAGAUACCCUGGUAGUCCACACCG
rnacentral:rRNA from 1 species